rnacentral:rRNA from 1 species
AACGAACGCUGGCGGCAGGCUUAACACAUGCAAGUCGAGCGCCCCGCAAGGGGAGCGGCAGACGGGUGAGUAACGCGUGGGAACGUACCUUUUGGUUCGGAACAACUCCGGGAAACUGGAGCUAAUACCGGAUAAGCCCUAACGGGGAAAGAUUUAUCGCCGAAAGAUCGGCCCGCGUCUGAUUAGCUAGUUGGUGAGGUAACGGCUCACCAAGGCGACGAUCAGUAGCUGGUCUGAGAGGAUGAUCAGCCACACUGGGACUGAGACACGGCCCAGACUCCUACGGGAGGCAGCAGUGGGGAAUAUUGGACAAUGGGCGCAAGCCUGAUCCAGCCAUGCCGCGUGAGUGAUGAAGGCCUUAGGGUUGUAAAGCUCUUUUGUCCGGGAAGAUAAUGACUGUACCGGAAGAAUAAGCCCCGGUUAACUUCGUG